GUUCUCGUAGUGAUGUUGGUGAUGUGAUGGCAGAGGUGGUAAUUGGUAUUACUAUUUUAGGUUCCACUUUCCUAGCUGAGAACACAUAACACACUUAGAAGACGUGACUGAAGGAAGUUUAAUGAAGGAUUAUUUAUAGAGUCAUUGAAAGAAGAAAUGGAACCAGCAAGGGAUAAUGAAGAGGCUAGUAACACUGGAAGCAUCCUUGACCUGGAGCCAAGGAGAUCUGUGCCUGCAAGUGUGAUGUGCAUGGAUAAUAUCCACAGCCUUCUUUACUUUUUUGGUCAACCAAAGAACCAGCAGGAGACCUGAGGAAAGGAGGAAGACAGUAGUGGUCCUGAUUCUCCCGGCUUUGGGCUCAAAUUGAAUUGCACCAUUGGCUUUCCUGGUUCUCCAGCUUUCUGACAGCAGAUCUUGGAACUUCUGGACCUCCACAGUUGGGUGAGCCAAUUCUUAUAUUAAAAUCUCCUCAUGCAUAUGUAUUUUAUUCUCUUUCUCCUGAGCAAUCCUAAUACAGAAGUAAUGCUAUGCAACUUCUAAGAGCAGAUAAUAAAGGUCAAUACAGCCUUCACAAUUUUUGUUUGUUUGUUUUGGACAGCAGUCCUGAGAUCUCCAUUUGUAGUUAACAUCAACCAACAGUUGUGUAAGUGACAGGCUUUAAGAUGACAUUAACCCCAGUCACCAUCUAACUGCAACUGUAUGAGAAACAUCCAGGGAGAGUUGUUUAACGAUGCCUAUUCAACCCCUACAACUGUGAAGGACAAUUUUAUUGAUUAUUGUUAUUUUAGAUAUUAAGUUUUAUAUUUAUAAUUUGGCAGUAGAUAACCAACACUUUCACAGGUUUUAUUCUUUCUGGGUUUUCUACCCUUCAUUUUUACUCCAAACCCUGCCCUCUGGUUCUUCAGGCCAGUAAAACUGCAGGUUUCUGUAAAACUCUCUCUGCCCUCUAUGUUGCUGACUACAGCCUGCUUUCAGGCCAAGUGCUGUGAUCCAUGAAGUGUCGUUCCUUUCUUUCAAGUGUGAAACCAUCUCAAUAUUCUGCCCACUUUUGUUAAUUUUCUAGUAGCUUCAGGUAGUUCUUUGAUUUUGGUUUUAUCCAUAAUUUAUAGCUUUGCCAAUAUCCAUUAGAAGCAUCUACGUUGUUGCCAGAAAGAGAACCACUAAUGUCAAUAGAUUUUUAAAUGUACU